UAACAGUGAUGAGCCUUUAUCCCAAAACUGAUCUACUGAUGAGACAGAACGGAUCUGAUUGCUGAGUU